AUUGAACGCUGGCGGCAGGCUUAACACAUGCAAGUCGAGCGGGGUGAUGGUGCUUGCACUAUCACUUAGCGGCGGACGGGUGAGUAAUGCUUAGGAAUCUGCCUAUUAGUGGGGUACAACGUCUCGAAAGGGAUGCUAAUACCGCAUACGUCCUACGGGAGAAAGCAGGGGAUCACUUGUGACCUUGCGCUAAUAGAUGAGCCUAAGUCGGAUUAGCUAGUUGGUGGGGUAAAGGCCUACCAAGGCGACGAUCUGUAGCGGGUCUGAGGGGAUGAUCCGCCACGCUGGGACUGAGACACGGCCCAGACUCCUACGGGAGGCAGCAGUGGGGAAUAUUGGACAAUGGGGGGAACCCUGAUCCAGCCAUGCCGCGUGUGUGAAGAAGGCCUUAUGGUUGUAAAGCACUUUAAGCGAGGAGGAGGCUCUUUUGGUUAAUACCCAAGAUGAGUGGACGUUACUCGCAGAAUAAGCACCGGCUAACUCUGUGCCAGCCGCCGCCGUAA
rnacentral:rRNA from 1 species